AUUGCCUGUUUUGUAGUAGAGAGAUGCUUCUCAGGACGUCGUGGGAUCACACUGUUCAGACUGAUUUCCAACAGGCACAGCGUGAAUUGUACAGUAACUUGUUAAGAGGUCACCUAGACGUUCUCUUAGGUUCCUUUCUCCUACAGAAGCUAAGGGGACCGUCUGUUAAAAACUCCAUGGAGCCAUAAAAUGGCAGAACAUUUUGUCCAGGAUUCCUCUGCAGUGAGAUGAUUCCCUCCACCUGAUCUGUAUGCCACCUGACCCUCACCUUGUAUCAUUCUGUGAGAAAAAAGGAACACCAAAGAUGAUUUGUUGGUUUUCCAGUGCAAGAGUGAUCCCUCCUUCGUUUUUACCAAAAAGAGGGCUAUUUAACUGGAUACCAGGAGAAGCAAAUUGCUGAUCCAGUCAUGGAUGUUUUACCCCAUUAUUUAGUUCCACUCUACAUGGAAUUUAUUUGGAAGAUUCUCAAUGCACUUGCAUUCAAACAUAAAGACCUAAUGACUCUCAUUGCAGCAGUAUUCCUCUUGUAUUGUUAUUUUCUUAACUUCGGAUUUCCUCCAUUUCUGCACUUUUUGCCAUCUGGAAUUUCAUUUGCAAGGGCAGAUAAGGGGAAAAGAAUGUAAUAAGAGACGAGGAAAAAUAUAAGCCCUUGCUGAAUGAUUGAUAUGAAUGAAGGAACUGAUGGAAUAAAUAACAAAAAUAAAAAGAUCCAGGACUACUCUCAGUCUCUGAAGCAGGUGGGAGCCCUGGCGGUAGCUAUGGGUCCAGUUCAAAGGAUUAUGAAAUGCACUGCUUUCACAUCAAAAAGG